AUGAACGCUGGCGGCGUGCUUAACCCCUGCCAGUCGAACGAAGCAUUUGCGACAGAUUUUUUCGGAAUGAAGUUGCUUAUGACUGAGUGGCGGACGGGUGAGUAACGCGUGGGUAACCUGCCUUGUACUGGGGGAUAGCAGCUGGAAACGGCUGGUAAUACCGCAUAAGCGCACAAUGUUGCAUGACAUGGUGUGAAAAACUCCGGUGGUAUAAGAUGGACCCGCGUCUGAUUAGCUAGUUGGUGAGAUAACAGCCCACCAAGGCGACGAUCAGUAGCCGACCUGAGAGGGUGACCGGCCACAUUGGGACUGAGACACGGCCCAGACUCCUACGGGAGGCAGCAGUGGGGAAUAUUGCACAAUGGAGGAAACUCUGAUGCAGCGACGCCGCGUGAGUGAAGAAGUAAUUCGUUAUGUAAAGCUCUAUCAGCAGGGAAGAUAGUGACGGUACCUGACUAAGAAGCUCCGGCUAAAUACGUG
rnacentral:rRNA from 1 species